AUUGAACGCUGGCGGCAUGCCUUACACAUGCAAGUCGAACGGCAGCGCGGGAGCAAUCCUGGUGGCGAGUGGCGCACGGGUGAGUAAAGUAUCGGAACGUGCCCAGUCGUGGGGGAUAACGUAGCGAAAGUUACGCUAAUACCGCAUACGAUCUAUGGAUGAAAGCGGGGGAUCGCAAGACCUCGCGCGAUUGGAGCGGCCGAUAUCAGAUUAGGUAGUUGGUGGGGUAAAGGCUCACCAAGCCGACGAUCUGUAGCUGGUCUGAGAGGACGACCAGCCACACUGGGACUGAGACACGGCCCAGACUCCUACGGGAGGCAGCAGUGGGGAAUUUUGGACAAUGGGCGAAAGCCUGAUCCAGCCAUGCCGCGUGCAGGAUGAAGGCCUUCGGGUUGUAAACUGCUUUUGUACGGAACGAAAAGGUUUGGGCUAAUAAGCUGAGCUCAUGACGGUACCGUAAGAAUAAGCACCGGCUAACUACGUGCCAGCAGCCGCCGUAA
rnacentral:rRNA from 1 species